rnacentral:rRNA from 1 species
AUGUGGUUAAUUCGAAGCAACGCGAAGAACCUUACCAGGCCUUGACAUGCAGAGAACUUUCCAGAGAUGGAUUGGUGCCUUCGGGAACUCUGACACAGGUGCUGCAUGGCUGUCGUCAGCUCGUGUCGUGAGAUGUUGGGUUAAGUCCCGUAACGAGCGCAACCCUUGUCCUUAGUUACCAGCACGUUAUGGUGGGCACUCUAAGGAGACUGCCGGUGACAAACCGGAGGAAGGUGGGGAUGACGUCAAGUCAUCAUGGCCCUCACGGCCUGGGCUACACACGUGCUACAAUGGUCGGUACAAAGGGUUGCCAAGCCGCGAGGUGGAGCUAAUCCCAUAAAACCGAUCGUAGUCCGGAUCGCAGUCUGCAACUCGACUGCGUGAAGUCGGAAUCGCUAGUAAUCGUGAAUCAGAAUGUCACGGUGAAUACGUUCCCGGGCCUU